CAGCGAGAGGUCUGCGCGGAGUCUGAGCGGCGCUCGUCCCGUCCCAAGGCCGACGCCAGCACGCCGUCAUGGCCCCCGCAGCGGCGACGGGGGGCAGCACCCUGCCCAGUGGCUUCUCGGUCUUCACCACCUUGCCCGACUUGCUCUUCAUCUUUGAAUCUUCGGGGGCCUGGUGUGGAUCCUGGUGGCCUCCUCCCUGGUGCCCUGGCCCCUGGUCCAGGGCUGGGUGAUGUUCGUGUCUGUGUUCUGCUUCGUGGCCACCACCACCUUGAUCAUCCUGUACAUAAUUGGAGCCCACGGUGGAGAGACUUCCUGGGUCACCUUGGACGCAGCCUACCACUGCACCGCUGCCCUCUUUUACCUCAGCGCCUCAGUCCUGGAGGCCCUGGCCACCAUCACGAUGCAAGACGGCUUCACCUACAGGCACUACCAUGAAAACAUUGCUGCCGUGGUGUUCUCCUACAUAGCCACUCUGCUCUACGUGGUCCAUGCGGUGUUCUCUUUAAUCAGAUGGAAGUCUUCAUAAAGCCGCAGUAGAACUUGAGCUGAAAACCCAGAUGGUGUUAACUGGCCGCCCCACUUUCCGGCAUAACUUUUUAGAAAACAGAAAUGCCCUUGAUGGUGGAAAAAAGAAAACAACCACCCCCCCACUGCCC
rnacentral:lncRNA from 1 species